CCAAAAACUCAUGGAUUCUCAGAAUGUUUAUAGUGCUGAUGCAGUUAAAAAUUAUAUGCAUUUUCAUCACUUUGUAUCAACAUUGUCAGUAGUUAUUAACUUGGUGUGCUUAUAUUCUUGUUUUUGAUGUGAAGGUUAACUUAGUGAAUGAUGGUCUGGUGACAAUGCAGCUUGAAUAAAGGGAAUCAUCUUAAAUAGUUGCAAUAAAGAUCAAGAGCCAUUAUUAUUAGUAUGAGGGAGGGUUGUCAUUCUCCCAGUCACAACCACAGAGGAGGAACCAUGGCUGGAGCCCUGAUGUUGCUGCUUCCCCUUCUCUUUCCAACUCUUUUCACUCCUUUCAGCCAUGCCUUUCCCUCAGUUCUCUCGGAUACAAGGGAGGGAGUAUCUGCUUCAUGUUGGAAUCAUAUUAAAG